UCAUAUAAUAACUUUUAAAAUGCACAAAAAUAAGAAGUAUAUAAAAGAAAAAAAAAAUGGCUUCCAAGAAGCACUUCUCAACAAUAGUUGCUAUUGUCUUUAGUCUUCUGCUUCUCUUCACUACCACUGUCACCUCAAAAAGGCAUUUGCUUACAUCUCCUAAUGUUAAUGGACAACGAUAUGGAACUCAGGAAGCUUUGGAGAAUCCAUGGGACCCCGGCUCCUACGGUAGUCAAUGGGGUGGUGGAUGGGGAGGAGGAGGACCUCAAAAGCAAACAUCUCAGCAAAAGGAGAAAGUUAAAACUUAGAGAAAAAUAUAUGGACAAUAAUAUAUGAAUAUAGUGUCCUAAAGUGUAAUAUAAACUACAAGUAUCUAAGGGCCUCUUUGAAAUUUCUUUUCAAGUGCUUUAGAAGAAAAACUACUUUGAGGUAUAAACCCUUGAAACGUCAGUUCAAACAGAUUAUCUAAAAUGUGUUUAAGAAUAAUAAGUGCAAAUGUAGUUUGUAAGUAAUAGAAUUAGUGGUUGAUUUCUAUGCUAUUCGCUUUUGUUUAGGAGUUAGUGGUCUUGGCUUAAUGUGAUUGAUCAAGGGAGAAUUGUAAUUAGGUUGGGACGAGUACUUGUGGUCUAUGUAUGUAUAUAGUUAGUGUGUUAGUGGUCUGUUUUUUAUGUAAUGUUUCCAUUUCAAUAAAUAUAGAUGUGAUCAUAUAUCUUGAUCCUUUAUGUAA